CAUUGUGUAGCGGUUAGGAUUCCUGGUUCUCACCCAGGGGGCCCGGGUUCGACUCCCGGUG
rnacentral:tRNA from 1 species